GAUGAACGCUGGCGGCGUGCCUAAUACAUGCAAGUCGAGCGAACGGACGAGAAGCUUGCUUCUCUGAUGUUAGCGGCGGACGGGUGAGUAACACGUGGAUAACCUACCUAUAAGACUGGGAUAACUUCGGGAAACCGGAGCUAAUACCGGAUGAUAUUUUGAACCGCAUGGUUCAAAAGUGAAAGACGGUCUUGCUGUCACUUAUAGAUGGAUCCGCGCUGCAUUAGCUAGUUGGUAAGGUAACGGCUUACCAAGGCAACGAUGCAUAGCCGACCUGAGAGGGUGAUCGGCCACACUGGAACUGAGACACGGUCCAGACUCCUACGGGAGGCAGCAGUAGGGAAUCUGCCGCAAUGGGCGAAAGCCUGACGGAGCAACGCCGCGUGAGUGAUGAAGGUCUUCGGAUCGUAAAACUCUGUUAUUAGGGAAGAACAUAUGUGUAAGUAACUGUGCACAUCUUGACGGUACCUAAUCAGAAAGCCACGGCUAACUGCGUG
rnacentral:rRNA from 1 species